CUGAGCCUUUGCACUGACCCGGCUGCUCAGCUUCUCCAAUGGAGCAGCCUUAGUUAGAGCUGGGUUGGAGGGAGUGCAGACUGAACCUGUCUUCAGCCACCCGUUCAUGUCAAAAUCCCUACAUUUCCUGAAGGCUUUAAAUUCCUUUUUCCUGGGCAUCCUCGAACCAGCUUAGUGUGGAGUGACCCAGCCAUAAUUUACAUUUAAGCCUAAUUUGAAUUCAUAAGCAAGGCAUUCCUCAGUCUGUUUCACCUGAGGGGCUCUAUCCAGCUGGCAUCCUUCGAGCAUGACUAAUGGUGCAGGCUGUGCAUGAAGCACAGCAGCAGCAGCAGGUGAUCUGCUGCUGCUGCCCACAUGAAAAAAUGUUUCCCAGGGGCUGAGAUCAAAGGUAUUGCAACAGGAUCACAGAUGGUGCAAAAAUGGUUUCUGGAAUGCAAAUAAAAAGGGGCAGGAA